CAUUCUUAACUUUCCUUCCCGCCAAAUCUUGACCAGUCCGAGCUAUUUUCGAACUCGGCAGGGAUCUGUCCAAAGGAGCUCCAGUGCUCUGGUUGAGAAGAAACGUGAGACAAAUUCGAUUUGAGCGCGCGGGGCGACUGCGCACAUGAGGACAGAAAUGAAUGUAGUGACACGGUUUAUAUUAUUCAUGAGCCGGCGCGGUA
ensembl:ncRNA F44E5.13 ncRNA